AUGAUGGUAUAGGGAGAGACCGCAGGGCAAGCUCGCGGCGCCGAAGGAGUAAGCCCAAAGCGGUGAAUCUCUCAGGCAAAAGGACCUGUAUCGGACG
rfam:Paenibacillus sp. Soil787 contig_3, whole genome shotgun sequence.